UGAGAACGGACUCCCACUGGCAAAUAUACCCCGGCCCUCAGUGAGGCGAUAGCACUGCUCUGCUGUGCACUCUGCUUUACUCGUGGGGUUGCUCAGGGCAAACACGAUGGGCCUCUCGUUGAAAGCUGCCAUGUCCUUCAAAAUCUUCUCAGUGAAAGCUCCUGCAAUGGCUGCGACGCCUAUAAUUGCUGUCGGCUUCACUUUCUGCACAACCUCUUCUAGUGUGUUCACACUGGGAUGGUCCUGGGCAAACAUUUCUUUCUCAUGGUUUAGGUGGCUCCUGCCCUUGACUAUCAGUCCCUUGGAGUCCACCAUCCAUAUUUUUUUGAUAGCAUCUUCUCG
rnacentral:lncRNA from 1 species